rnacentral:lncRNA from 1 species
GAUUUUCCGUUCAGGUAAUUUUUCUUUUUACUUUAGCAUUUAAAAAUAAGUUGUCAGCUGGGUGCAGUGGCUCACGCCUGUAAUCCCUGCACUUUGGGAGGCCGAGGCGGUGGAUCACUUGAGGUCCAGAGUUGGAGACCAGCCUGGCCAACAUGGUGAAACCCUGUCUCUACUAAAAAUACAAAAUACUAAAAAUACAAAAAAAUAGGUGUGGUGAUGGGUGCCGUAAUCCUAGCUACUCAGGAGGCUGAGGCAGGAGAAUCACUUGAACCUGGGAGGCAGAGCUUGCAGUGAGCCAAGAUCACACCAUUAAUUACACUCCAGCCUGGGCAACAAGAGCAAAACUCCGUCUCAAAAAAAAAAAAAAAAAGAAGCAGUGUGUCUUCUACUAUUUUCUUGUCCUUGAAAGUUGUAUGCUGGGGAGAGAAAUGGAGGACUGGAAAGUUAGAGGCCAUCAGGAAAAGACUCUGGCCUUUGAAGUCCAGUCGUUUUCAUGCUCUGAAAGGUGAACUGGCGGACUCUCCUGCAAGUGAUGGUUGUUUAAAAUGUCCCAGUGAAUGUGGGUCCUGUUGUGUGAGGGACACAGGCAGCCAGACACUCCUGCUCUCCUUUUACCCUAGUGCCAGUACAGUUACAAGCACGCUUCUGAAAGAGAGCACGAAUUGUAUUUUUUUAAAUGGGUUUUGAAGGUAUACCAAGAUGCUUAGAACUAAGGUGCACAUCUGUGUAUAUGUCAAAAAACAAAUGAACCACGUAGCUAGUAUGAAAUCUGUUCACUUUAAAAAUCUGGUCAGGAAAUGUCUUCAUACAUACAUGUAACAAAUGCUGUUAGGGUGCCCUGCCUCAAGAAUUAGGUGUUGACAGUUAUUAGUGUAUUGCAGUCAAAUCAAAGUUUCUUUGGAGUGUGGGGUGAAAAUAUACCAAAAGAUUAAGUGUUUAUCACUGUUGCAGUUAUGGAUAAUUGUUAUUUUCUUCCUGCUAAUCUUUAUCAUUCAUUUUUCCUUUCUUUUUUUUUUUUUGAGAUGGAGUCUUGCUCUGUUGCCCAGGCUGGAGCACAGUGGCGCGAUCUUGGCUCACUGCAACCUCUGCCUUCCAGGUUCAAGCGAUUCUCCUCCCUCAGCCUCCUGAGUAGCUGGGACUACAGGCACGUGCCACCAUGCCCGGCUACUUUUUGUAUUUUUUAGUAGAGACAGGGUUUCAAUGUGUUAGUCAGGAUGGUCUUUAUUUCCUGACCUCGUGAUCCACCUGCCUCGGCCUCCCAAAGUGCUGGGAUUGCAGGCGUGAGCCACUGCUCCCAGCCCAUUCAUUUGUUUUUAUUUAAUUAAUUAAUUUAUUUAUUUUUUGAGAUGGAGUCUUGCUCUGUCGCCCAGGCUGGAGUGCAGUGGCGCGAUCUCAGCUCACUGCAAGCUCCGCCUCCUGGGUUCACACCAUUCUCCUGCCUCAGCCUCCUGAUUAGCUGGGACUACAGGCGCCCGCCACCAUGCCCGGCUAAUUUUUUGUAUUUUUUAGUAGAGACGGGUUUCACCAUGUUAGCCAGGAUGGUCUCGACCUCCUGACCUCGUGAUCCGCCUGCCUCGGCCUCCCAAAGUGCUGGGAUUGCAGGCGUGAGCCACAUUCAUUUGUUUUAUAGUGAACUUGUUUUUGUUUUUGUAAGAAAGCAUUAUAAAAGUUUGUGAAAGAACUGUGUAAUCUUAAAAAAAUGAGUUUUUAGUGUUUGAGCUUUAUAUUUUUUAGGAAAUUAUGCUUCAGGUUUUUUCUGAAAGACUUCUAUGCGGUAUUUAUAAUGGUGAAAACUCAUUUCUUUCCUGUCAAGAAAUCUCCCAGCAAAACCAGCUGAAGAAGCUCAGAAGCACAGACAGCAGUAUGAAGAAAUGGUGGUUCAGGCCAAAAAGCGAGGUAAUGGGGUUCACACUUGAUGGGUUAAAUCAGGCAGCACAGGGUUUGUGUCUUUCUGGUUAUUUUCUUUUUACCAUUUGGAGUCAUAGAACCUGAACUUCAGUCUUUGAAAUUUGUAGUCUUCCAGUAAAAAAAAAAAAAAGAUGCAUGCGGAAAGCCCCCACAAGCGAAAACAGGGCUGCAGGGUGGCGUGGGCGGACUGCAGGGACUCGGGGGGAUGUUGAGGCAGGCAGAGGGGAGAAG